rnacentral:lncRNA from 1 species
AUAAACCACACCUUGAGUCUACUUUUAACAUCCGUUUUAGAAGUUUGCAACAUGACCCAAUUCAUUAUCCUUUCGCCACAAGUUACAAGUCCUCGUCUCUCACGAGCCUUAUCUCUAUGGUUUACUAUCCUAGGGUCUCCUAGGUUCACCUAAACCAUUUCCCUAUUAUCCUCUUUAUGCUCUGAUACCACUUUAUCUAUCACGCCUCAACACCCGCCUAUUUGGUCGGAUUCGGGCACGCCGACAGACUGCCGAACGGACAGAGUUUUUCCUAUACAUCCUAGGCGUCACAAUCAAUACAGUUCGGAAGGUUCCAACCAGGAACAACAUACAAAUAGAGAUUGCAUAAGGAAGGUAUCAACAAUAUAAAACAACUAAGUUAUUAAAAGCAUUCACAUCACAUGCCUUAAACAUAUUACAUUUUCAUUUUCUUUUCUUCCAAAUACAAUAAAGAUUAAUACAGCAUUAUUUUCUACAACUCCUAGCUAGGCCAACUUGGGGUAACGCUAUUUCUGGUCUCUGUGAUAGGGCGCUAUCUACGGAGCUACACCCUUUCCUUGCGUCGUCAUGUCGCUCGCGUGUGAACCUGUAAAUCCCCAAAACCACGUAGGCUGAGAACUAUAUAAAUAUAGUUCCCAAUGGGUACGGCCACCCAAGGAAAGAGCUCGACCCACCAGGUCUGAAGGAGGCACUACAAUAUGUUACUCCAACAAAUAUCCACAGAUAUAUAUUUUUCAUCAAAUGAUUUAUGCAACUAACAUUUAUCAUGUUCAUGCCUCACAACAUGCAACCAUGCAAUCAUGCAACUCAAUAUGCAUCAAUGUAAGUCAUGCAACUCAACGUGCAAUAAUGUAAAUAGAUCUCCUAAUUCUACUUUCUGUUUCGCUAUCCACAGCUCAUCUGAUUGACAUCUAAGUUUUCUUCUAUUUUAGAUUCAUGUCAUUUACAAUUCUGCUCAUAAGGUUUCAUCUACCUUUAUAAUGCUAUCCACCCGACUCGGUCUUGAGUAAAUCAUCCGCGGAAUACCGCGUAAAGCCAAGCUCGAUGUGAAGAACGUCUCACAUGCACCUCAGCCUUAGAUCCAUUCAACUGAAAUACCAAAUCCACUCUACUGAAAUACCGAAUCCAUUAUGCUGGGAUUCAUAUGCUUGUCAUCCAAUCUAACUAGCUAACCCGAA